rnacentral:rRNA from 1 species
UACGUAGGGGGCAAGCGUUGUCCGGAUUUAUUGGGCGUAAAGAGCGUGUAGGCGGCCACACAGGUCAGCUGUGAAAACUCGAGGCUCAACCUCGAGACGUCGGUUGAAACCGUAUGGCUAGAGUCCGGAAGAGGAGAGUGGAAUUCCCGGUGUAGCGGUGAAAUGCGCAGAUAUCGGGAAGAACACCCGUGGCGAAGGCGGCUCUCUCGGGACGGUACUGACGCUGAGACGCGAAAGCGUGGGGAGCGAACAGG